UUAAGCGACUAAGCGUACACGGUGGAUGCCCUGGCAGUCAGAGGCGAUGAAGGACGUGCUAAUCUGCGAUAAGCGUCGGUAAGGUGAUAUGAACCGUUAUAACCGGCGAUUUCCGAAUGGGGAAACCCAGUGUGUUUCGACACACUAUCAUUAACUGAAUCCAUAGGUUAAUGAGGCGAACCGGGGGAACUGAAACAUCUAAGUACCCCGAGGAAAAGAAAUCAACCGAGAUUCCCCCAGUAGCGGCGAGCGAACGGGGAGCAGCCCAGAGCCUGAAUCAGUGUGUGUGUUAGUGGAAGCGUCUGGAAAGGCGCGCGAUACAGGGUGACAGCCCCGUACACAAAAAUGCACAUGCUGUGAGCUCGAUGAGUAGGGCGGGACACGUGGUAUCCUGUCUGAAUAUGGGGGGACCAUCCUCCAAGGCUAAAUACUCCUGACUGACCGAUAGUGAACCAGUACCGUGAGGGAAAGGCGAAAAGAACCCCGGCGAGGGGAGUGAAAAAGAACCUGAAACCGUGUACGUACAAGCAGUGGGAGCACGCUUAGGCGUGUGACUGCGUACCUUUUGUAUAAUGGGUCAGCGACUUAUAUUCUGUAGCAAGGUUAACCGAAUAGGGGAGCCGAAGGGAAACCGAGUCUUAACUGGGCGUUAAGUUGCAGGGUAUAGACCCGAAACCCGGUGAUCUAGCCAUGGGCAGGUUGAAGGUUGGGUAACACUAACUGGAGGACCGAACCGACUAAUGUUGAAAAAUUAGCGGAUGACUUGUGGCUGGGGGUGAAAGGCCAAUCAAACCGGGAGAUAGCUGGUUCUCCCCGAAAGCUAUUUAGGUAGCGCCUCGUGAAUUCAUCUCCGGGGGUAGAGCACUGUUUCGGCAAGGGGGUCAUCCCGACUUACCAACCCGAUGCAAACUGCGAAUACCGGAGAAUGUUAUCACGGGAGACACACGGCGGGUGCUAACGUCCGUCGUGAAGAGGGAAACAACCCAGACCGCCAGCUAAGGUCCCAAAGUCAUGGUUAAGUGGGAAACGAUGUGGGAAGGCCCAGACAGCCAGGAUGUUGGCUUAGAAGCAGCCAUCAUUUAAAGAAAGCGUAAUAGCUCACUGGUCGAGUCGGCCUGCGCGGAAGAUGUAACGGGGCUAAACCAUGCACCGAAGCUGCGGCAGCGAC
rnacentral:rRNA from 5 species